AGCCCCGCCCACCCAGGCUGCCCCGCCCACCCAGGCUGCCUCGCCCAUCUCACUUCCGAGGUCUUGGUUCUGUUCUCUUUCUGUUCCUGUCUGGGUCCCAUCUACCCGCCCACUCUCUUACAAAGGAGGAAGCCAUCCCAGCUGAACGCAGGACAAGAUACUCUGUGCAGGGGGCAUCCAAAGCCGGGUCCUCGCAGCCCGGUCCUUCCCUCCGCCUUGUGCGGAGAGGUCUCUUGCGGUGACACGUGCCAUGGGAGCCGGGCAGGGACAGAGGGAGAGGAAGGCGGAGGACAGGCAGAUGAGAAAGAAGAUUCCAAGGUCUUACAGCUCAUGUGUGGCAGAGCUGGGAUCUAAACCCAGGUUCCCAGGAUCCCAGUUUUCCAUGCUGGAGUGCUACCACACCCCGUUCCCCUCUUUGCUUCGGCUGCUAGGGAGCUCAGGAUGAAGUUUUGGGCUUGCUCUCAGGUCCCACAUUAGCCUGGGCUCUGGAGUAGUUGUGUCACCCCUUCCUUUGGGCUCUUUAUCCUCCCUGCUGGGCCUCCCGUGGAGCUGGCCGGACAUAAGUUAUCAACUAUAAAUAAAACCAAGACUUCCGUUCUGGCUCUCA